CAAACAUUUAUGCUUUGCUUCCCUUUUAAAUGUAAGUUCCUAUUUUAAAUCAUCUCUGUGAACACAUAUAACUGUACGCUUUCAGGAAAAGCCAGGUCAUAUCUUGAAUGCUUUGCUGCUUAGAAAUUUCUUCUGCCAGAUACCCUAUGUCAUCUCUCUCAAAUGCAAAGCUCCACAGAUGUCUAGGGCAGGGACAAAAUGCCACCAGUCUCUUUGCUAAAGCAUAGCAAGAGUGAAUUAAACCUCUUUUCUUUAUAAAUUACCCAGUCUCAGAUAUUUCUUUAUAGCAGUGUGAGAACAGAGUAAUACAAAGGUUGAGGUCAUUAAGAGACCACAAGCAUGAAAAUGAAAAUGACUACUAUAAAAGGCAUGAAAGUGAACAUUAGAAUAAAGGUGAAGUUAGGUAUAACACAACAAACAUAAAGAUGACCACUGGAAAAGUUAAGAUCGCAUGUGAGACUUCAAGUGUAAUGAUGACUGCUGAAACAAUGUCAGUGUUCAAAGUAUGAGGCAAAAAGUAUAAGGAUGAUUCUGAAAUAAGCCAAGGUAAACGUUCAACAAGCAUUAUGAUGAAUUCUGGUAAAGGUUAAGGUCCUGUGUGAGACGAAAACCAUGAGGAUGACAGCUGGAAUAUGUUAAGGUUCAAUGUGCAGCAGAGAGCUAGAAGGACACUACUGGAAUAAUGUUACACUUGAGUGUGAGACUGCUAGCAAGAAGUUGAUAGCUGGGAUAAGGAUAAAGGUAAGACCUAAACAAUAAGGAUGAAGGUUACUACUAAAAUAAGGGUAGUAUUCAGUGUGAGAUAGUAAGCAGGAAGGUGACCACUGGAAUAAGGAUAGCAUUUGUUUUGAGAAAGGAGGCAUGAAGAUGACCUCUGGAAUAAGGCAAAGUUUCAGUAUGAGAAAAGGAGUACAAAAAUGAUGGAUAGAAUAAGGCUAUAGUUCAAUGAAACUAUAAUAAAAAUGAAGAUGACUGCUGGAAUAUGUUUAUGGUUCAGUGUGAGACAAAAUACAUGAAGAUGAUUGUAGAAAUAAUGCUAAGUUUCCCUUUGAGACUUCAGCCGUGAAGUGGAAUCAUGGGAUAAGGUUAAGUUUCAGUGUAUGAAAAUUAGCAUGAAAAUGAUUGCUUGAAUAAUGUUCAGGUUCAGUGUGAGACAAGCAUGAUAAUGACUACUGGGAUACAUUUCUAAUUCGCUGUGAGAGCAAGAAUGAAAAUGACCACAUUAAUAAGGUUAUGUUUCACAGUGAGGAAAUAAGCAUGAAAAUUACCACUAGGAUUAGGUAAAAGUUCAAUUUCUGACAACGUGCAUGCAGAUGACCACUGGAAUAAGAUUAUCCUGUGUGAGAAAACCACCGUGGAAUGACGCUGGAAUAUGUCUAUUUUUUUAGUGGGAGACAAAGAACAGGAAUGUGAACACUGGAAUAAGGAAACAGUUUAGUAUGAGAGUAGCAUGAAGAUGACCGCUAUAAUAAUGUUAAGCUUCAGUUGAGACAGCAAGCUUGAAGAAUAAUACUGGAAUAUGUGUAUACUUUAUUGUGACAUAACAAUAGGAAAACAUCCAACCAAAUAAAGGCUUAGUGGUUUGGAAUUUUAAAAGCUCAAAUCAAGAAUGACUCUCCAAGGAAAUGUAUCCAUAGUUCCAUUAAAUUGGAAACUGACACUGAGCUAUUGUCCUCUGUCCAUUUUCAUCCCCGUGGCCCAAAAAAACUGAUAAUUGAGAAGAAAUUACCAGGCUGAAAGAGUGAGUGACUCAUCCAGACUACCAAAGGGAAUUUGGGUUGCUGCAUCACAAUGGGGAAAAGAAGACUACUUCUGGAACUGAGGAGAUUCACUGGGCCAUCGCUUAGCACUCCCAAAUCCAGUUUUAAAGUUCAGUGGAAAACUGAUGCAACUCCAGGAUGACAUCACCUGCAAGGACUCAGAUCCUUUGGCAAUGAAUGCUUGAGUCACCCUACCAGAUGUGCUGGGACCGACUUCAGAGUGUCCCUGAGUCAUGACUGCUUGACUCCACAGAUGGCUUCAGGAAGACAGCACAGAAGAGAGACCUGUGAAAGUUGAUGGAAUUCAGAAUUACCUGAAGGAGAAGCAUCAAGUAGUCCUGGAAACCCCUCUGCAUUUCCCCUCCCUAACACACACACACACACACACACACACACACACAGACACACACACUUGACCAAAAGAGUCGGCUUUGCAUGAAUAUAUUUCUAGAAUCUAUGUUGGUCCGUGGACAUGUCUAUCAAUUCCUGUUUCAUUUACUAAUCCUACAAAGUAAGUUUCAAGUCCAGAAUGACAAGCUCCCCCUUUAACAUAAUCCUUCACAUUUUUUUGCAGUAUAAUUUCAUCUGGUCUUCCAGUUACACAAACACUCAAAAUUCUGCUGUGACUUAUGAUUAGGAUUGCACUGGAUUUACCGAUUUAUUUAGAGGAUAAUUGAUGCCAUUGCAAAAAUUGAUCCUCCUCUUAAGAAAAAUGUGGUAUUUUAAAAUCUUAUUUGAAUAUUCAAACUGGAAGCUCAUAAAAAGUUGCAUGUUUGUUUUCCUUAUAUGUGUCUUUAUCAUUUCCCUAGGUGUUUCAUAACGAUUGUGACCAAUGUAAGUAAGAUAUUUUAUUUCUAUUAUAUUCCCUAUUUAUUGGAAGAAUAUGCAAUUUUUUCAUUUAUUUAUUUUUGUUGU